AAUUAUUUAGCAAAAAGCCUAUAUGACUUGAAAUCAUAUAUAAAGAAUUAAUAUUCUUAAUAAUUU
rnacentral:tRNA from 1 species